rnacentral:rRNA from 1 species
UGGGGGGCUGCAGUGGGGAAUCUUGCGCAAUGGGCGAAAGCCUGACGCAGCAACGCCGCGUGCGGGAAGAAGGCUCUCGGGUUGUAAACCGCUUUCAGCAGGAACGAAAAUGACGGUACUUGCAGAAGAAGGUGCGGCCAACUACGUGCCAGCAGCCGCGGUGAUACGUAGGCACCAAGCGUUGUCCGGAUUUAUUGGGCGUAAAGAGCUCGUAGGCGGUUCGGUAAGUCAGGUGUGAAAACUUUGGGCUUAACCCAAAGCCUGCAUCUGAUACUGCCGUGACUAGAGUUCGGUAGGGGAGCGGGGAAUUCCUAGUGUAGCGGUGAAAUGCGCAGAUAUUAGGAGGAACACCGGUGGCGAAGGCGCCGCUCUGGGCCGAAACUGACGCUGAGGAGCGAAAGCGUGGGUAGCGAACAGGAUUAGAUACCCUGGUAGUCCGCACCGUAAACGGUGGGCACUAGUUGUGGGAACCUUCCACGGUUUCCGCGACGCAGCAAACGCAUUAAGUGCCCCGCCAGGGGAGUACGAUCGCAAGAUUAAAACUCAAAGGAAUUGACGG